rnacentral:rRNA from 1 species
AUUGAACGCUGGCGGCAUGCUUUACACAUGCAAGUCGAACGGUAACAGGGUGCUUGCACCGCUGACGAGUGGCGAACGGGUGAGUAAUGCGUCGGAACGUGCCGAGUAGUGGGGGAUAACGCAGCGAAAGUUGUGCUAAUACCGCAUACGUACUGAGGUAGAAAGUGGGGGACCUUCGGGCCUCACGCUAUUCGAGCGGCCGACGUCUGAUUAGCUAGUAGGUGAGGUAAAGGCUCACCUAGGCGACGAUCAGUAGCGGGUCUGAGAGGAUGGUCCGCCACACUGGGACUGAGACACGGCCCAGACUCCUACGGGAGGCAGCAGUGGGGAAUUUUGGACAAUGGGCGAAAGCCUGAUCCAGCCAUGCCGCGUGUCUGAAGAAGGCCUUCGGGUUGUAAAGGACUUUUGUCAGGGAGGAAAUCCCUAGUGCUAAUAACACUGGGGGCUCAUGACGGUACCGUAAGAAUAAGCACCGGCUAACUACGUGCCAGCAGCCGCGGUAA